AUUGUACGCUGGCGGCAGGCUUAACACAUGCAAGUCGAGCGGAGUGAUGGUGCUUGCACUAUCACUUAGCGGCGGACGGGUGAGUAAUGCUUAGGAAUCUGCCUAUUAGUGGGGGACAACAUCUCGAAAGGGAUGCUAAUACCGCAUGCGUCCUACGGGAGAAAGCAGGGGAUCACUUGUGACCUUGCGCUAAUAGAUGAGCCUAAGUCGGAUUAGCUAGUUGGUGGGGUAAAGGCCUACCAAGGCGACGAUCUGUAGCGGGUCUGAGAGGAUGAUCCGCCACACUGGGACUGAGACACGGCCCAGACUCCUACGGGAGGCAGCAGUGGGGAAUAUUGGACAAUGGGGGGAACCCUGAUCCAGCCAUGCCGCGUGUGUGAAGAAGGCCUUAUGGUAGUAAAGCACUUUAAGCGAGGAGGAGGCUCUUUUGGUUAAUACCCAAGAUGAGUGGACGUUACUCGCAGAAUAAGCACCGGCUAACUCUGUGCCAGCCGCCGCAGUAA
rnacentral:rRNA from 1 species